rnacentral:sRNA from 1 species
UUUCAUGCUAAGCUGAGACUACCAUCCAACCCUCCAGACACGGGCUCGAUUUCAGCCCCAAUUCUGUCCAACAGUGUGGCGUUGCAUAGGGUUGGGGAUCAGCAGAGUCAUCGCCGGCAUUUGGAAAGGAUGGAUUUCUUCCACAUCAUCACGGAGACAGGCAAUGGAUGGGGGAAUGUACCGGUAUAUGCCACCUCCUGCUCCCAAUUCCAUUUAUUCUUCCACUCGAAUCUCUAUUUGAUGGCAUCAUUUCGACAAUAUGCAAAUCUCAUUUCCCUCAGACGCAUUGCAGAGACCACAAGCUGCGGCUGAUAUCCAGAUGGCCAUUAAAACCAUUGCUCUGGUACCUUGCCCCACCUCCGACCAUCCUCCUGGUGGCACACCUCCUGGCUGAUCCACAUCCACAUCCACCUCCACUGCUCUGCCCAGCAAGACAACAAAUUACAAAAAUUAAGAGACCAUUUUUGUGGAUGAAAUGUAUGGGACCGGAGGGUCCGUCCAAUGGCGGUCCGCUACGCACGGCAGGCGACACAAGUGGCCAAGGUCCUGCACACUGGCAGAAUGAGAGAGGUGUGAACAUGGCUGGCCACCCCCUGCACCCAGUCACUCACCGACAGAGGGGAGGCGUGUGCAAAUUAAUGAAAUUAAAUCGUCUUCAUUUGAUGGCUUUCAGAGCAAAGAAGAGAGGUUCACUCCCUGCAGGUUCACUCACAGCAAAUUUCCCCUUGUAGGAUUGGGGAAUGGAGAGAAAUCGAGAGAAUGUGUGGGAGAUAGGAAGAAGCAAGGCGGAGAAAGUUGCCUUGAACUUACCUCGUAUUGAAAUUGAAUUAAAGAAAGAAAUGAUUAAUAGAAAUACAAGGUACGAAAAAAUGUUAAAAGAUAUAAAUGAAAGAACAUGUUAAGCGAAUAUGAGAUGGAAAAAGAUGAAGAGCAGAUGUACGGAAAGAACAGGCUUUACCAAAUGGAACCAUGGCAAAAAAAAACUGAUACGAGCGGCGCCCGAACAUUUCCACAUACUUUCUCUCUCUCGAAAAUACCCGAUAUAGUAGUCCUUACUUUUCAACUUCAAUCGAUUCGAGCUGUCAAGUGCUAGGUGGGGGUUUAAAUCAACAGAAUUCAGUCUUGUCGAUAAGUUCCCUCAGAAAACAUAGAAUCAAACGUGUCUACCAAAUGCAAGAUUUCUUGGGUGAAAACACUUGGGUUCUAGAACUGGAAUAAAACACAAUUACAGACUAUUUUUUCGAAACUGAAUACUGGAUAGUGGACUACGACAAUGGUCGGACAAAAUCGAUGCGGACUCGGAAAUGUACUUGGACCAUUCUUUGACACUUAUUUGGCUUUGAAAUGUGGAGUAGGCCCACUGGCACUACCAUGAUAGGAAAAAGCGGGUAGAACUCUACCUCUAUCGUGUUGUGGAAAAUAACUCAAUACGCUGUCAGACAUAACCACAUAUAUAAGUAAAUUAAACCAAAUAUCA